AACGUAGGACACAAGCGUUAUCCGGAAUUACUGGGCGUAAAGCGUGCGCAGGCGGCGCGUUAAGACAGGUGUGAAAGCCCCGAGCUUAACUUGGGAAUUGCGCUUGUGACUGGCGAGCUGGAGUGUGGCAGAGGGAGGUGGAAUUCCACGUGUAGCAGUGAAAUGCGUAGAGAUGUGGAGGAACACCGAUGGCGAAGGCAGCCUCCUGGGCCAGCACUGACGCUCAUGCACGAAAGCGUGGGGAGCAAACAGG
rnacentral:rRNA from 1 species